rnacentral:rRNA from 1 species
AUACGUAGGUCCCGAGCGUUGCGCGAAAUUACUGGGCGUAAAGGGUCCGUAGGCGGUCUGGUAAGUGGAAGGUGAAAGCCUGGGGCUCAACUCCAGAAUUGCCUUCCAAACUGCCGGACUUGAGGCAGGGAGAGGUCGGCGGAAUUCCCGGUGUAGCGGUGAAGUGCGUAGAUAUCGGGAGGAACACCAGUGGCGAAGGCGGCCGACUGGAACUGUCCUGACGCUGAGGGACGAAAGCCAGGGGAGCGAACCGGAUUAGAAACCCCAGUAGUCC